UGGGGAAUAUUGGACAAUGGGCGAAAGCCUGAUCCAGCCAUGCCGCGUGUGUGAAGAAGGUCCUCGGAUUGUAAAGCACUUUAAGCUGGGAGGAAGGGCAGUAAGCGAAUACCUUGCUGUUUUGACGUUACCGACAGAAUAAGCACCGGCUAACUCUGUGCCAGCAGCCGCGGUAAUACAGAGGGUGCAAGCGUUAAUCGGAAUUACUGGGCGUAAAGCGCGCGUAGGUGGUUCGUUAAGUUGAAUGUGAAAGCCCCGGGCUCAACCUGGGAACUGCAUCCAAAACUGGCGAGCGAGAGUAGGGCAGAGGGUGGUGGAAUUUCCUGUGUAGCGGUGAAAAGCGUAGAUAUAGGAAGGAACACCAGUGGCGAAGGCGACCACCUGGGCUCAUACUGACACUGAGGUGCGAAAGCGUGGGGAGCAAACAGG
rnacentral:rRNA from 1 species